GAUGAACGCUGGCGGCGUGCCUAAUACAUGCAAGUCGAGCGAACAGACGAGGAGCUUGCUCCUCUGAUGUUAGCGGCGGACGGGUGAGUAACACGUGGAUAACCUACCUAUAAGACUGGGAUAACUUCGGGAAACCGGAGCUAAUACCGGAUAACAUGUUGAACCGCAUGGUUCAACAGUGAAAGACGGUCUUGCUGUCACUUAUAGAUGGAUCCGCGCCGCAUUAGCUAGUUGGUAAGGUAACGGCUUACCAAGGCAACGAUGCGUAGCCGACCUGAGAGGGUGAUCGGCCACACUGGAACUGAGACACGGUCCAGACUCCUACGGGAGGCAGCAGUAGGGAAUCUUCCGCAAUGGGCGAAAGCCUGACGGAGCAACGCCGCGUGAGUGAUGAAGGUCUUCGGAUCGUAAAACUCUGUUAUUAGGGAAGAACAUAUGUGUAAGUAACUGUGCACAUCUUGACGGUACCUAAUCAGAAAGCCACGGCUAACUACGUG
rnacentral:rRNA from 1 species